rnacentral:rRNA from 1 species
GCACAACGCGAAGAACCUUACCCACCUUUGACAUGUACGGAAUCCUUUAGAGAUAGAGGAGUGCUCGAAAGAGAGCCGUAACACAGGUGCUGCAUGGCUGUCGUCAGCUCGUGUCGUGAGAUGUUGGGUUAGGUCCCGCAACGAGCGCAACCCUUGCCAUUAGUUGCUACGAAAGGGCACUCUAAUGGGACUGCCGGUGACAAACCGGAGGAAGGUGGGGAUGGACGUCAAGUCCUCAUGGCCCUUAUAGGUGGGGCUAGGAAACGUCAUACAAUGGCCGGUACAAAGGGUUGCCAACCCGCGAGGGGGAGCUAAUCCCAUAAAGCCAGUCGUAGUCCGGAUCGCAGUCUGCAACUCGACUACAUGAAGCUGGAAUCGCUAGUAAUCGCGAAUCAGAAUGUCGCGGUGAAUACGUU